CCCUUAGAUGUUCUGGGCCGCACGCGCGCUACACUGAUGAACGCAACGAGACCACCUGUACCGAAAGGCAUGGGUAAACUUGUGAAAGUUCAUCGUGAUGGGGAUAGAUUAUUGCAAUUAUUAAUCUUCAACGAGGAAUUCCUAGUAAGCGCGAGUCAUCAGCUCGCGUUGAUUACGUCCCUGCCCUUUGUACACACCGCCCGUCGCUCCUACCGAUUGAAUGGUCCGGUGAAAUCUUCGGAUUGCUGGAUAGGACUUCAUUGACCUAUCUGCGAGAAGUUGCUUGAACCUUAUCAUUUAGAGGAAAGAGAAGUCGUANCA
rnacentral:rRNA from 1 species